ACGUUCUUGUGUUAUUUGCUGGGUGUUUUUUUAUAAACCAGUGAUUGUCAAACAGAACGCAUAAUAAACCCAGAAAACUAAUCACUCCAUAAUGAUGGGUCCAUUUUAACCAGGACCACUUCAUUACUAACUGUUCGCUACAGUU